GAAAGGCACCUCCUUACAGAGGCGGUUGGGUGAAAUGGUGUCUAUGUGACUGCACUGUGAGUCUGAUCACAGCAUAAUGUACUGAGUGCCAUGCCCUGCUCCUUCACCUCUCCCACCGGGCUGUUUGUGACCAAGAAGUCAACCUGUCUUUGGCCGGAUUGUAUUCACGUGAGCCAGUGGAGACCUUAGGAACAGAGAGAUGGGGUCCUGAAGCCUCCCUUGCUCCAUAAAGCUGAGAGAUGUAUCCUGCUUGGUCUCUGUCCCAUUCGAUCAGCCCAAGUCCAUGGUACACCAGCAGGUGCAGAGCAAGCUCAUCCAUCCCGUGACACAGUAUGUGAGGACAGAAACCUAUUUCUAACACAAUGAUGUCUACUGAACUUUUGGCUUCCUGAUGUGUCUUGUCUUCCCAGAGGCAACGUGCAAAGAGCUGGGCAAAGGAUCGUUUUGUUAUAAAACAACAGAUGAGCAUGAAACAGCCCGAAAGAAAAAGAAAUAUGUAAGGGACAGAGAAAAUAUGAAGUUGGGUGGUGCCUGAAGGCACGUCCCCCCAUCACCUUUACACAGCAUCCUAUAAAUAAAGCUGGAAUCAACAUGAGUCCUGCACUAUCACUGGUGGUGUACAUAAAACGUAGCAAACCUUCCACCAUGCCUCCUUCAAAGGAAAUGAAGGACUUCAAGCACUGGCUGGCUGAGUAUCUCCUCUAUGUGCUCACCUCACCAUUCACAGAGCUGAAAACCGCUUGCCACAGCCAUAAUAUUCUACCUUCUGUCACUGACAGCCAAGUACGUGAAUUCUGGGGCUUAACAAAACACCCCCAUUAUUUAGGAUUGUGCUGACCUGGCCCAAGACAACCACUUACUGAAGCUGGGAUCUCUGGUAGCCAUCCAAGCCUGUGUGCCCACCAUUCCAGGGUUGGCCUCCAGAAGGAAGAUUUCCAUAUGCCUGCUCAGGUCAGGAGGGCUGCUGGAAUCUCCCUCCCUUGUCAGGCAGCAUCACUGCCACAGCAGCUCUGUUCCCUGUGACCCAGAGCCAUGGAGAAGUAACAGAUACUGGCCGGGGCAAGGGCUCGAAACUGAAUCUGCAUCUGAAGGCCUGCACCACGUGAAGGCAGGUUUUGAUGCCAGUUUGGCCAAAGAUAAAUACCUCUGUAAUAAACACAAAAUAUGCUUAAUUAAACAAGCCAUUUCAAGUGGACAAAAGCUGUCCCCGAGUAACCCCAGUAUUUACUUUCACUCCUCCAAGAUUCAGGAUGGUAUUUCAACAGGAAGGAAGAACGUGCAGUAUAUCUUAACCUAGAUUUGUGACAACCAGCUUCUGACCUCACAUUUACCAGCCUGGUUGAAAUUACAACCUGUUGCUAAGGAAAACUCUAUCAUACCUUGAAGUAACUGUGAUAUCAAAUAGCUUUGAGAUAUCUGACAAAUGGAUUGCAGGAGAUUAAUGAGGAGCAGUUUUAGAAAUCCUGUAAAAGACAGCUUAAAAUGCUAAAAUAUGAUAAUACAUUUCAUUUAAUAACAAUAUAAAUUCUGUGUU
rnacentral:lncRNA from 7 species